UCGGACGGCUCUCCAAGACAAUCGCUCUCCAAGACAAUGGAUAAAAGUGAGUAUUUUAUCAUGUCAUGUUAUCUGAUGGUAGUGAUAUUUAAAUACUAUUAAUUGAUCAAAGUAUGUUAUGCUAUUUUUACAGUCUACGAUGUUAUAGCGUUUUUUUUUAAACCAUAUUACAUUUCAUUCCUGUCAUUUUCUUCAUGUUAUGCUGUUUUAUUUCAACCACUGAUAGAGAUAUUUUAACACUAUAUUCAUAAAGUAUGUGUUAUUUGAAUUAAUAUCGACGCAUCUAUCGUCCCAAUCACCGCCAGACUGUUUGUAUGAAAAACACACUUUUAUUUUGAAAAGACGGCGACAUCCUGUUGAAAAUACUUUUAUUUUGAAAAGACGAGGAUAUCCUGUUAAAAUACUUUUAUUUUGAAAAGACGGCGACAUCCUGUUGAAAAUACUUUUAUUUUGAAAAUAUGACGACAUCCUGUUGAAAAUACUUUUAUUUUGAAAAGACGAGGAUAUCCUGUCGCUUAGCUUUUGUGCUUCAAUUCAGUUCGCUAUGUAUAGGAUUUCAGAAAACCAAUUCUGUGUCCAUUAAAUCGACGUUUUACCACCGCGUUAUCCGUUCGUCAUCUAUGAACACGAUUUUCCCGGUUGCUAACUGCUCUCGGUGAAACGGAUAUGAUGGUGAAAUGGCUCCCUCCGGUUCAAAUAUUGAGCAGCAAGCCUUUGACGGUAUUAAUACAUCGCUCGCGAUUGAUCCAGACAGCGCAGCCGCUGGUAAAACAAGAUCCAUCUCCAACAUUUUUUAUGAGAAAUCAAAAUUUUAGAGAGACUUAUCUCUAUUUUAAAUGGUAAUAUAUGCCAUGAUAGUAACAUAUUACCGAAACAAAUAAUUUAUCAUACAUUUAAACAUGUAUUCAACACUUAUUUAUUAAGCUCAUUGAUCUUAUAAAACACUAUUCACUUAUUUUAAAGAAGUUAAUUAAUAUAUUGUAAUUACAUAUAUAACACACUGUAUAAAAUAAACAUUUAAUAUAGUUUUAGGUCACAAUAAAUACGGCUUACAUUUUUCUGUGCAUAAUGAUGUCCAUUCCGUGAAUGAAAUGUUUCCAAUAAAACGCAUUUAGUAUAAGUUGAAAUAUUAACAAAACGUCCCAGAUCGUCCCAGGGUUAAACACCAGUGUGAAAUGAAUGUUUCAGACCCACUCAGAGGAGGGGGUAGUUACAGACCAGAAGAUCUGAGGUGUUAUUCUGUUAACCUUUUUUCAAACUGCAUGUUAUGGCUGUGUUAAUAAUGAAUACAAAGUCUAAUCUUAAGACUUUAAAUAAACAUUUUUUUUUUCCCUUACAUUUCCUGUGGUUUUUU
ensembl:lncRNA